rnacentral:rRNA from 1 species
AUGUCAUUUCAGGAUUGCAUUGGGGCAAUAGAUGGUACUCAUGUCACUACCAGAGUGUCAAGGUCACAGUCUACAACAUACACGGGUAGAAAACACUACACAAGCCAGAAUGUGCUUGCUAUUGUUGACUUUGAUCUGAAGUUCACAUAUGUGUUGUCUCGCUGGGAAGGCUCAACACACGAUGCUAACAUUCUUAGUGACAGCAUGAGUCGUCCUGAUGGCAUCAACAUCCCCGAUGUCAAGUUCUACCUAGGAGAUGUUGGCUAUGCAUGUCAGCCAGGUGUUCUUCCACCCUUCAGGAAAACCAGGUAUCAUCUGAACGAGUUCGCUGGUAGGAACUAUCCUAGGACUCCACAAGAGUUGUUUAAUCUCAGACACUCCAGCCUUAGAGUUACUAUUGACAGGGCAUAUGGAGCUCUGAAGAACAGGUUUAAGAUCUUAGCUCAGAAGCCAUUCCACACUCUCCCACCCCGAUUAAGCUUGUGCUUGACUAUUGCAUUCUGCAUAACUAGAUCCUGCAAUGGGGUUGUGAUGAACUAG